rnacentral:rRNA from 1 species
GACGAACGCUGGCGGCGUGCUUAACACAUGCAAGUCGAACGGAAAGGCCCUGCUUUUGUGGGGUGCUCGAGUGGCGAACGGGUGAGUAACACGUGAGUAACCUGCCCUUGACUUUGGGAUAACUUCAGGAAACUGGGGCAAUUACCGGAUAGGAGCUCCUGCUGCAGGGGGGGGGUGGGAAAGUUUCGGCGGUUGGGGAUGGACUCGCGGCUUAUCAGCUUGUUGGUGGGGUAGUGGCUUACCAAGGCUUUGACGGGUAGCCGGCCUGAGAGGGUGACCGGCCACAUUGGGACUGAGAUACGGCCCAGACUCCUACGGGAGGCAGCAGUGGGGAAUAUUGCACAAUGGGCGGAAGCCUGAUGCAGCAACGCCGCGUGCGGGAUGACGGCCUUCGGGUUGUAAACCGCUUUCGCCUGUGACGAAGCGUGAGUGACGGUAAUGGGUAAAGAAGCACCGGCUAACUACGUG